CCUCUUUUAGAUCAUUUUUUAAAAGAUAUUUCUGAUUGGAAAAUUGGAUAAAAUUUUAUCCCAUGUAAUAAAAAAGCCGAUAAAUUAUUAUUAUGCAUGACUAUAUUAUUGGCUAAAUGCUGAGAAGUGUUCAUGAUUCUAAUUAAUCUCCUUAACUAUUCACUGGUGUAAUUAAGUUGACCAUAAAUCCGAAUUGUUGAACACCUAUCCCGUACCCCAAUUACACGUUCUUAGUCUCUUUUCUCUCCCGUCCUAGGAGUUUUUCACGUCAUUUUAUCAUGAGAGGGACAUUAUAUGAAGACUUUGAACUUGAAGUUUGAACAAGUAGAACUGAGAUGUGACUUAACUCUACAAGUAAGAAAAAGAAAAAAAAAGUUAUAUGUAUACCCAAAAAUCCUACUCAACACCUAGUAGUGAGGUAAAGGGAAAUAUAGGUAAAAUAAGAUUUAUCUUGUGAUUAAUUGAAAGAAAAAAUAAAAAGUAUUAAUGUGAUAUUUAAAAUAAUGAGAUAUUUAUGUAUCAAGAGUUUAUUAUUCUCGUUAUAGAUAAAAUCUUGCCAAACAUGUUAUAAACAUUGUUCAUAUAUUCUUCCCCUUAUAAUUUUAAAAAUAAUAAUUAUAUGUCAUAUUAAGAAUUUCACCCAGAAAAUUCACAACUUGGCAUGCACGACAACCAUUUUGCUCCGCAUGAGUAUUCUCUGUAGAACGUUGGUUUGGCCAAGAAUACGUGCAGAACGUAUUGAACGCAUGGAAAAAGUCACAAUGUUCAUUUGCUCCACACAAAUAGACAAAAUAGGCAAUUCCAUACUGCUCUAGUUUCUUUCUGAAGAAGAGUCAAGAAGCUGGUUCAGUGGUGUAGUUUGUUUCUUCUCGUGCAGAUUUUCAAUACUCAUUAUCAUGCCUGCUUGGAUAUUUGUUGAAUGAGAAAAUUUGCAGGUUGUGGCUUAGCUUAUGUCGUAACCACUGUCAAUUUGGAAGAUACUGUACGUGUGUAUUUUGGUUCAAUUCAAAUUUAAUAAAAUUCACAUGAUCUUUUAGCUUCUUUCUUUUUUUAUAAAUAUUUUAACAAAAGUCACAUAAAUUCACUCAAUAAUAAAGUUAACAGUGGAUGAAUACGUCAUCACCAAAUAAUACAUAACAAAUAGUAAAUUAAAAAUAGACCCUAAAAUGACAUAAUAAAGAGUAACACACGUUGAUUAUCCUCCAACUUUACCCUAAAUCCAAACUUUUGACAUGAUGAGAAUCUAAUUUCAGACAUCAAAACCCUGAAGAGAAGAAUUUGUUUCGGUGCAAAUUAACAUUUCUGUAUAAUAUGAAACAUUAAGUUUAUUAAAAUCUUUCUGAGCAAAGUUGAACCGUUAUUAUCAAAAGAGAUAACAGAUUUCCUGUAACUUUGUAUCUUCCUCAACUUCUUGCAUUAGGGUUAACUAUUUCAAGAGAGAAAGAAAUUAGUUGCAGCUAACAGUGCAAUGAAUCCAUCAUAUAUAGAAGAUGUUGAUGAUAAAACAAAGUGAGCAAACAUGUCUUUUUCUUCGCUUGUACCUUUUACCUUGCCUUUCCUAAUUCUGUUUCCUCUGUUUUUUAUCCAAGUCAAAUACAUGAUAAUAGAAGCGGAGAUCCUAAAUAAUCAGUUAGUUAUUGAAUUAGAAUUAAUAGUUGAAGAACCCCACAAACAAAGUUUCCUUUUUCAGUUUACAAACCGUGUGAGAACGUUUUUUUUGUCCUUACCUUUCCCACCCUAUAAAGUUGUUCUUUUCUUUCAUCCUUAUUUCAUUGGCUUCGUUUUCAUAUAACUGGAACAUUCUUUUUUAUUUUCAUUUUAAUUUUUUUCUAGUUCUAUAAUUAACUGAGGAGUUGAGAGAAGCAAUCUUUGGCUUUUUUGAGUUCUCUCUUGGACUACAUAAUCGGGACAUAGCUUUUUCCCAUGAUGGAUUCUGCAUAUUUUUCCUUUCUGGGGGCUUUUGAAGCCUGCAUUAAUUCUUAAUGGGACUUGUUUUUUACCAAAUGGGCAUGUGCAUUCUUACUCUGCUGCUAUCUCAUCUAUUCUGGGGUAUAUUCAGGAUGAAAUACUGGUAAGACAAAUGUUCCCAGGCUUGGUGGUGAUAGCUACUUUGGAAGAAAUUGGAAUUGUAGACAUUAUUCUAGAUUGACUGAAGAAUUCUUUCAGGUUCUUGAAUCUCGAUCAGUUCUAAUACAGCUAUAGCUGUAUGCUAGUAGCUGUAAUUCUUAGUUGGCAUCUCUUUUCUUCUAACUUUAUCUUGGAGGGUGAGAGUUACUUCCUUUUUCAUGUGUAAUUGAAUGAAUAUGGUAGGCACCAAUAGUUAAGCAGGACUUCAAACAUAACAACGGAAUUUUAAGAAUUGGUUUUGCUGGAGUGAUACGUGGAACUUGAAGCUUUAUUGUAUGAAUAUGGUAAUCAGAAUUUCAAUUUUGUACCUCCGAAGGCCAAUUUCUUACAUGUGGUGGUGGAGGCUGCACUGUCUCUGCAACAACGAAAUCUCCUUCAUCAUCAGAGACAUGGAAUUGAGCGGGACGGAAAAAAUAGGAUUCACCUCAAGAUAAAGGGUGGGGCAUAUCUUCAGGUAUUAAUUCUUCUGAUUUCUACAAAAUUAGAAGUCAUUUGGUUGCAUGUAAAAAAUAUAAUGUUGUGUUUCCACAAGAUUCUUUUGUCAUCAUGUUGUACAGAGGAAUUGAUGAAGAGCACCAGACUCUACCAAGGAGAAUCACUCAGAGCCCAACUUACCUGAAGGACUAUGAGAGCCAUUAAGUUGUUAUGACUCCGAAAGAAAUGGCCCGCAAACGGGAACAAGGUCUAUGCUAUAACUAUGCUAAGCAAAGGCCAAAUGUGUCAUACAUAGUGUUCACAGUAGUUUGUUAUAUAGGGCGCUUGGGGGAUCAUUCAUUUGAUGUUGCACUGAAGAAUAGUUAUAAGUCUCCACAUAUUUUUCUGUAACUUCCUUUCAUCCAACUUAUAUAUAUUUCGUUUUUGCAAAUCUUUUGAAUCCGUGAAAGCCAUCACAUACAUAAUAAUAUUUACAAAAUAAAAUAACAGAUUGUGUUCCCUAUUGAUUGUUGUAACUGCAGAGACAUAGAAAUAGCUUUAUCACCAUAGAGGAUUUCAAAUUUCUAUAUAAACAUGGAAUAAAUACUGUGAGGAUACCAGUUGGGUGGUGGAUUGCUUAUGAUCCUGAUCCUCCGAGUCCAUUUAUUGGAGGAAGUCUUGAAGCUCUAGAUAAUGCAUUUUCAUGGGCACAGGAAUAUGAUAUUAAAUGCAUAAUUGACCUUCAUGCUGCUCCUGCUUCCCAAAAUGGGAUGGAGCAUAGUGCAAGCAGAGAUGGAUUUACGGGUUGGCCAACUUCUCCUGAUUAUAUUUCCGACUCAUUACAUGCUAUUGAUUUUUUAGUUUCUAGAUAUGCAAAAAAUCCUGCUUUGCUGGGAAUUGAGCUAUUGAAUGAACCAUCUGCUGCCACAGUUUCAUUAGAUGUUUUAAUUUCAUAUUACAAGCAGGGCUACCAAAUUGUUCGAAAAUAUUCAUCAUCAGCUUAUGUGAUAAUCUGCCAGAGAAUUGGUGUUGCAGAUCCUAUGGAACUUUAUCAAGCCAACAUAGGAUCUCACAACUUAGUUUUGGAUUUGCAUUUCUACAAUCUCUUUGACACAUUUUUCGAUAAUAUGAGUGCUAUGGAUAAUAUUCAAUACAUAUACAAAAGUCGGGUAGGUCAACUGCAAGCCUUAAACAAUUCAAAUGGCCCACUUGUUUUAGUUGGAGAGUGGGUGAACGAGUGGAAUGUGACAAACGGAUCCCUAAAAGAUUAAGACUUUGGAAAGGCACAGCUAGACGUUUGCAGCUUCCUUUGGAUGGUGUUAUUGGACAUUAAAAAAUGAAGAGAAGCACUGGGAUUUUGAAUGGAGCAUAAGGAACAACUAUCUUCAAUUAGGCAAAUAGUAUACAUUUUUGGUGGCACACUGGCACUGCCUCUAUUGCAUUGCAUGUACAUUUGUGAUAUUUAAAUUAUCUUGAGGCACCUAUGUAUUUUUGCAGGUAACUCACCCAGCAAAUGGAGCUUGAACAUUCUAGGAUGGUUAGGAUUGACAUGCACCUGGUUUUGUCUACUUUCGUUAUUGUGACAGCUUUUACCAGGACUGGAAGCAUAUUUUAUGCAGCUGUUUCUUGAUUUUAUUUAUUUAUUUUGUCAUCUUGUUAGCAAUUGCAGAAUGCAAUAAUGUGAAAUAUACAGAAUUUCUGCACGAUGCCUAUUCCAUAAUUUUCAUAGCUGCAUUUCAUGCAAAUAAAGCUGAGAAGUCUGAUAUUCAA